CGCCCCCCCUCACGCACCCAAUCCCCCCCCCAAGAUAGGGCCCAAAAUUAAAAAACCCCCCCCCGCCAAGCCCCCCCCCCGUAAGAUAAAUAAACCCCCCAAGGCCCCCCAAGGCCAUGGUUUUUUACCAAAAAAACCCCCCUCCCAAGCCCGGGUUUUAACCAAGAAUAGCCCCCAAAAUCCCACCGGUAUCCUUGUUAUCAUUUGCUGUCUCAACCAGAUUAAGCCAUGGAUUUGUAAGUAUAAGCACUUUAUACUGUGAAACUGCGAAUGGCUCAUUAAAUCAGUUAUCGUUUAUUUGAUAGUACCUUACUACAUGGAUACCUGUGGUAAUUCUAGAGCUAAUACAUGCUAAAAACCCCGACUUCGGAAGGGGUGUAUUUAUUAGAUAAAAAACCAAUGCCCUUCGGGGCUCCUUGGUGAUUCAUAAUAACUUAACGAAUCGCAUGGCCUUGCGCCGGCGAUGGUUCAUUCAAAUUUCUGCCCUAUCAACUUUCGAUGGUAGGAUAGUGGCCUACCAUGGUGGCAACGGGUAACGGGGAAUUAGGGUUCGAUUCCGGAGAGGGAGCCUGAGAAACGGCUACCACAUCCAAGGAAGGCAGCAGGCGCGCAAAUUACCCAAUCCCGACACGGGGAGGUAGUGACAAUAAAUACUGAUACGGGGCUCUUUCGGGUCUCGUAAUUGGAAUGAGUACAAUCUAAAUCCCUUAACGAGGAACAAUUGGAGGGCAAGUCUGGUGCCAGCAGCCGCGGUAAUUCCAGCUCCAAUAGCGUAUAUUAAAGUUGUUGCAGUUAAAAAGCUCGUAGUUGAACCUUGGGUCUGGCUGGCCGGUCCGCCUCACCGCGAGUACUGGUCCGGCUGGACCUUUCCUUCUGGGGAAUCCCAUGGCCUUCACUGGCUGUGGGGGGAACCAGGACUUUUACUGUGAAAAAAUUAGAGUGUUCAAAGCAGGCCUUUGCUCGAAUACAUUAGCAUGGAAUAAUAGAAUAGGACGUGCGGUUCUAUUUUGUUGGUUUCUAGGACCGCCGUAAUGAUUAAUAGGGAUAGUCGGGGGCGUCAGUAUUCAGCUGUCAGAGGUGAAAUUCUUGGAUUUGCUGAAGACUAACUACUGCGAAAGCAUUCGCCAAGGAUGUUUUCAUUAAUCAGGGAACGAAAGUUAGGGGAUCGAAGACGAUCAGAUACCGUCGUAGUCUUAACCAUAAACUAUGCCGACUAGGGAUCGGGCGGUGUUUCUAUGAUGACCCGCUCGGCACCUUACGAGAAAUCAAAAUUUUUGGGUUCCUUGGGGGAGACGGAUAUGGUCCCAAGGCUGAAACUUAAAGAAUUUGCGGGAA
rnacentral:rRNA from 1 species